GUGGCUGUGGCUCAGUGAUAGAGCACUUGCCUGGCACAUGGGAGGUGCUGGAUUCGAUCCUCAGCACCACA
rnacentral:tRNA from 1 species